UCAAAGUCAAUCAACAAUCGAAUUCGCGUUGUCAAUGCAAUGCUCUACACCCCACUCACUGAAUGAUUUCACCGAAUUUUCGUCCAACUUUUGAAAACUCUAUUCACUGGUGAAGAAGGGUAACCAGGCGCCUCUAUGCUCUUCACAGAGCCGUGCUUUGGCCAACACAACCAUAAAGAGACAACGCAGGUUCUUUCCUGGAUUACUGCAUUUGAAGAUAAUUAGAUUUCUUUUUAUAGGUACUGCAC